UUUAUCAUGCUCAGAACGAWCGCUGGGGGGUGGUGCCUAACACAUGCAAGUCGUACGAGAAAGGGAGCUUCGGCUCUGAGUAAAGUGGCGCACGGGUGAGUAACGCGUAGGUAAUUUGCCCCUCAAUUAAGGAUAACCCUUCGAAAGGAGGGCUAAUACUUAAUAUUACCAUAAUUCAUAAGAAAUUAUGGUAAAAGGGACCUUUUUAAGUUCCCGUUGAGGGAAAGGCCUGCGUUCCAUCAGCUAGUUGGUGAGGUAAUGGCUCACCAAGGCUAAGACGGAUAGCUGAUCUGAGAGGAUGGUCAGCCACACUGGAACUGAGACACGGUCCAGACUCCUACGGGAGGCAGCAGUGGGGAAUAUUGCGCAAUGGGCGAAAGCCUGACGCAGCAACACCCCGUGAGUGAUGAAGGCCUUCGGGUCGUAAAGCUCUGUCAGAUGGGAAGAAGACAAUUAAAUUAUUUAUUUAGUUGUUUGACGGUACCAUCAGAGGAAGCAUCGGCUAACUCCGUGCCAGCAGCCGCGGUAAAACGGAGGAUGCUAGCGUUGUUCGGAAUUACUGGGCGUAAAGAGCGUGUAGGUGGUCUAAUAAGUCGGAUGUGAAAGCCCUUGGCUCAACCAAGGAAGUGCAUUCGAAACUGUUAGACUUGAGCACGAGAGAGAGAGGUAGAAUUCCCGGUGUAGAGGUGAAAUUCGUAGAUAUCGGGAGGAAUACCGGGUGGGCGAAGGCGGCCUCUUGGCUCGUUGCUGACACUGAGACGCGAAAGCGUGGGGAGCAAACAGGAUUAGAUACCCUGGUAGUCCACGCCGUAAACGGUGGGUACUAGUGUGUGGAGAGGGAGUUGACCCCUCUUGUGCCGAAGCUAMSGCAUUAAGUACCCCGCCUGGGGGGAGUACGGUCGCAAGCURMCACUCUAAUGAUGCGUAG
rnacentral:rRNA from 1 species